AAAAUCCUUAGACUGAGGCUAGAGCUCGAGCCAUGGAAGACAUGCAUACCCGUGAACAAAACAGGAAAGAAAAAAAAAGUGUAUGUUAAAUGGCAAAGUUCGAGAGUCUGUUCUAGCCCCACAGGUACUGUUCUGAAAAUGGAAACUCAACCCUGGAGAGGCCAAUAGAAAAAGAGUAGAAGCUCUGGCACAUAAAUUUAAGAUGGAAAUUAGGAAGGCGAAGGAGGACCUCGUAAAUAGCCAAGGACAUAAAGUACAGCAGAAGCAGGAAACUUAUGAGAAGAUUGGUGGGGCUAAUAGCUUAAUAAAGUUUCAAAAGGAGCAAUUGAAGGCAAAGAAAUUGCAAUUACACUGAUCUGUUUCUUCAGGGUGUUAGGGAGAUACCUACUUGGACCUACUCUUUUCUGCUAAUAAAAAUGAGGCAUUGUCAGGGGAGGUGCUGGAACAAAGUGACAGAAAAGAAACAGGGCACCAGACUUGGAUAAUAUGCACCCAAGAGCUCUGAAGGCGUUCAGAUGGGCUGCAGCAAAAACAUGUAAUCAGCAUCUAUGCUGGAGAACUGGAGGGUAGCAAAUGUACUUUAAAAAUGGUUCUUGGGCCCAUUUAAGAAUUACAGGCCCAUAAGCCUUAUUUCAAUAGCAGGAGAAGUGGUUAAAAGGAUAAUAAAAAAUAGACUUACUUACAUGAACAUAACAUGGUAGGGACAAAUCACACAGCUCCUGUAAAAGAAAAUCAUUCCCCUGUUAGCUACUAUAAUGCUUUACAUUAAUCAACAAAAUAGUGGAUAAGCAGAUGUAAUUUAUUAAUAGAAGACCUUCAAAAAAUCUUUAACAAAAUCCCUCAGUGAGGCUUAGGAAACAGCAUGGUCUCAAGUUAUGUACUGAGAGCAUAGGAAUAAAAUGAUUUUCAACAUGGGAAAGAGUUAACAGUAGAGUGCCACAAGGGUCUUUAGUAGAACUGGUGGUGGUAAAUAUAUUAUUGAUCUCUAAUAAGGGGUGAGCAAUGAAGUGGCAAAAGUUGCAACUGGCACAAAAUUAUUAGGUUAGUCAACCGGAGAAAACGCAGAGGGACCUAGACCUAACCAAGCUAUGAGGAGGUGGAUAGGAAGCAGGAUGAUAGAUUAAAUUCAUUAAGAAAUCUGUAGUAGUGCAUAUUGAAAAGAACAAUCUGAGAUACUCUUCAACAUUGCUGCAUUUCAAAACUAACUGUAACCGCUCAGGGGAAAAACCUGCUUAUCGGUGUGAACAAUUCAAUGUAAACCUAUGCUCAGUGCACAGCAGUGGCCUAAACAAUGCAGGUAUUAGGAGGUAUAAAGAAUGGUAUAGAAAAUACAAUAGAUCAUAUGUCAAAGACUAAUGUCCCCAAAGUCAGCUCACCCUGUCUCAAAAAGGGACAUAACAUUAAUAGUAGGGCUUGCAAGACAGGUAACAAGAUUGAAAAGUUAUGGAUACUUCCACACCAAGGAGCUGGGGACCGUUUAGUUUAUACGGAAGAUAUGUAAUAGGAGGUCACAACCAAAAUAUAAAAAUAGAGAAUGGUAUUGAGAACGUAUGAAUCCCGACAGCUAUUCCUCUUUACUAUUUCUAAUAAUGAAGUGGCAAGAUAGUAACUGAAACAGAACAGCAGCAAAUAUAAAAUUUUUUAUAUUUAACAACUAUCGCCUUUAUCUAACACUGCAUAAUUGGCCCAGGGAACUGAUUUCCUUAAGAUACCACUAAGGGCAAGAACUGAGCAGGAUUUUAAAAAGGUUUAGCCAGCCAAUGAAAACAUCUACUCUGUGUCUGUGUUAACUAGGAUGACCAGAUGGUCCAAUAGUAGGGGAUUUAGCUGAUAGAUGCGACUAUCCUCCCUCCCCCCCCUGAAAAAAGGUGUCCUGAUUUUCCACACUUGCUCUCUGGUCACCCUAGUGUUAAUCUUUUUGCUACAAGUAAACCACAAUGAAGUAAAUGUUACAUUUUGUAUUACUACUGCCUCCCAUUAAUUUUUUAUCUCAUUGCAUAAUCUGUAACCCCACUUCCAGCUUUAUCCAACUUUGUGCCACUAUACAUGCCUUGCAGGGAUCACAAAGAUAAAUCCACUUGUGACAUGCACCCCAUAUUCUUCAUAGUGAUAUUAUUAUAUGAUUAUGGCAUAAUUAUGAUGCAUUUUGUACAACAUGGGGUAUGUAAGGUGUCAUUGGAUUUGCUGAAUAUGAUUAUCCUGUUGGUGUGCAUGUAUAUUUUUGUAUCUGAAGUUAUGAAUAUUGACUACAUAUCUGUAUUUCACAUAUAGUCACACCUGGGUGACACCCACAAGGCAAGAUGCUUCCAAUCUAAAUAGCUGGUUGUGCAGGGCCCAUUCAGGGUAAAGUGCCAUUAGGGAAAACAAUAUGCCUCAGGAGAAGCUUAUCCCCCAAUCUGGUGACCUUCCUGUGGAUGUUUCAGCCAGCCUAUAAAUAAUGGCUGCCAUGACUCUGCAAGGGCAUGUGACCAGCCCACAUGACUCUGGACUCCAUUUUGGCAGCCUGUAUUUUCCCAUAAACUGGGCUGGGAACUGUUUUUGGAACAAAGGGUUCCCACCCAGUGCUAAAGCUCUAUAAGGCAGGGAGUGACAUCAGCUGUUGCUCUUCACUCCCCCACAACUGAACACCUGAAAGAAGCUCGGAAAGAAAAGGACUUGGAAUGGGGAUGGGGAGCCUAAGCUGAAAAGCAAGUGAAGCUUGUGCCUUGAGAAUCUGCAAGCCUGUUUGUAUCAUCAGUCAGGCUGGAGAUGAUUCUCAAAGAAGAGAAAUGCUAUAAGAAAGGGGAGCAAACUCCUCAGAUUACCUCUCUCCCCUCAUCUCUACUCAUGGCAUCAACAACACUUGAAAGACAAAGGAAGCACCAUAGAACUGGGGGAAUGGAUCCUGGCUAAAAGGAAUCCAGCCAGACUGCUGUAAGCAUGCGGGGCCAACUCAUACCAGUGGAAAGCAGCUGUUUAUUGGAGAUAUUUUGAACAAUAUGGCAAACUCCAGUUACCUGCAAAUCUGUAGUACCGAUCGUGAUGGAUAUAAAACCCUGGACAAACCUUACUGAAUUAAGUUUAGUAUCUUUGAAAUUCAUUGUAUUACAAAUGCAAGUGUUUACACACUGUGUACAAUUGCAUGGAAAUUUGUUAGAAGGAAGACAGAAUUAAGGCAAUAUUUGGGAGGUAUUAGGAACUUCAAAGGACUUUUUUGGACAAAAUGUGUCAAG